GGGUUGUGAGGUUAAGCGACUAAGCGUACACGGUGGAUGCCCUGGCAGUCAGAGGCGAUGAAGGACGUGCUAAUCUGCGAUAAGCGUCGGUGAGGUGAUAUGAACCGUUAUAACCGGCGAUUUCCGAAUGGGGAAACCCAGUGUGUUUCGACACACUAUCAUUAACUGAAUCCAUAGGUUAAUGAGGCGAACCGGGGGAACUGAAACAUCUAAGUACCCCGAGGAAAAGAAAUCAACCGAGAUUCCCCCAGUAGCGGCGAGCGAACGGGGAGGAGCCCAGAGCCUGAAUCAGUGUGUGUGUUAGUGGAAGCGUCUGGAAAGGCGUGCGAUACAGGGUGACAGCCCCGUACACAAAAAUGCACAUAUUGUGAGCUCGAUGAGUAGGGCGGGACACGUGGUAUCCUGUCUGAAUAUGGGGGGACCAUMMYCGGCGAUUUCCGAAUGGGGAAACCCAGUGUGUUUCGACACACUAUCAUUAACUGAAUCCAUAGGUUAAUGAGGCGAACCGGGGGAACUGAAACAUCUAAGUACCCCGAGGAAAAGAAAUCAACCGAGAUUCCCCCAGUAGCGGCGAGCGAACGGGGAGGAGCCCAGAGCCUGAAUCAGUGUGUGUGUUAGUGGAAGCGUCUGGAAAGGCGUGCGAUACAGGGUGACAGCCCCGUACACAAAAAUGCACAUAUUGUGAGCUCGAUGAGUAGGGCGGGACACGUGGUAUCCUGUCUGAAUAUGGGGGGACCAUCCUCCAAGGCUAAAUACUCCUGACUGACCGAUAGUGAACCA
rnacentral:rRNA from 1 species